GGAGCAAGCCCGAAGUGUUUGCUCACUGCUCUAAUCUCUUUAAUCUCUUGCUGGCUUGUAGUUUCUCUUUGGGAACUCAGUGCUUAUGCUGAAGCUGAGGCUUUCCUGGAGGGGUCUGGCUGAAUACUGAUAUCCAACUUCCUAUAGAAAAAACCCUAACUUCAUUGUUCAGAGACAUUGUUCAUUUCUCUUCCUUCAAGAAACACCAAUGACAGAGACCUUACAUCUGCUGGUGUUCUGCAGAACUGAUACACAUCUGGGAAAAUGACAUGUUUUGAAGGAAGUGGGCACCUCUCUUUCCCUUUCUUGUGAAGAGACCAUGUGAAGGUCGUGCUUGGGACAACGUGUGUCUAUCAGGAGAGAACGGGAUUUGGGAUAAUGCUCGGAAAGGCAUGGAAGGGAGUCUUGCUCAUGGCCGUGACAGUGGUGGAGGCUGCACAACUGCCACGCAGAGGCUGGUGUUGAUUUUCCUACUUUGAAUAAAAUGUAAGGGAAUUCCAGUAAGUAUUUCUUUCAAGUAUUUCAAAUGGAUGAAUUAUUGUUCUGCGCUCAUUUAAUAACAAGCUGUUCCUUUUGAAUGCCUUCUUUAAAAGUAUUUUUCUUUUGAACUCCAUGAGAGGUGCACUCAAAUCAAUGUCUAUUAUUCUCUCCAUUUUCUAAUGUUCUUUCAAGUAUAUAUAUAUUUUCUGAGAGAAAGAUUAAAACCCAUUCCUGAUAUUUGCCUUUACCCAUUCAGACUCCAUUCCGCUCUGACGUUUCCUGAGUUCAGAAGCUAAUCACAAAGUAAUCAUCUUUCUGUUAAUGCGAAGAGGUGAAAGCUGCCUUUUGUCAUUGGUGGAAAUGUUCAUCUGUAUAACAUAAAUAAUGUUAUUAACUGCUUAAUUUGAAUUUCAGAUUUCUGUAAUUUGAAAUGAAUGUAUUUUCAGAUUUCCCUAUGUAGUUCCCAUUGCUCUCUUUAACGUACAUGAUUUCAGGUACCCUGGUUCUGAGCCCUUGCACAUACCCUUGUAAACAUAUAACAUUUUUGAUGUGUGGGUGAGAAUCUGUGGUGACGUAACAUGCUUUUUUUACAUCUUGUCUAUGUGCACGAGUCUGUUUAAAGUAGGAGGAAAAUGAAAAAUAUUAAUGGGGUCACUUAAAGAAUUCAAGUUUCUAUUUGUUAAAAAAUACAAAAAGGAAGUCAGAUAAUGCACUAAACUGGACCAGAACUUUGCAGGCUGAACUGCACUCUACUGCACCAUUCCUAUCUGCAACUUAAGCUGCGUCCAGCAUGAACUUGAAAAUGGAAACGGAUCAGCUUCCACAGAAUUUGGACUGGGAAAACUAUUUUGUUGAGGUUUCCGGUUCAAAUUGCUUCAAAAAUUUCUUGUUUCACAUCUUCCUUUGUUUCAAAUGGAAGUAAUAAACCCAUCCUUUUGCCUGUGAUUCCUGAACUCUCCUCAUAAAUGUAUAUUAUGAAUGUUUCUUUUUAGACAUGGAAAGCUACAAAUAAUAAUAUUUGCAAUUAUGAGUAGUACUUCAGAAUUAAAGAUGAAAGCACUUGUAGAAGCAGUUAAUUCAUUAUUCAAAAAGUUGUCAGUAGGCUCUAUUAAUAUUGCCUGAGAUAUUUUUUUUCUGUGGAGAUCCCAAAAACUUGUGCUGCUAGCUCACACCAGAGCCAUCAAGAGCUGUUCAGAUCAGUGAUUCUUGUUGCAAGAGAGAAAGUUAAUGCAAAAGGUAAAAAGAAAUAAGGUCAGUCAGUCCAACUACUUAAAUUCCUGCUUUGUUCCCUUGAAAACUAGUCCAGACACUUAAAUUCCAGUCUGUAUUACUAGAAAGAUCUCUGGUAAUUCAUAUUAAAUAUAACUGCAGUGUUUCCAUAGAGAUGAUGUUUAGCAUAAAAAUAGCUGAAACAUUUUGACAUUGAUUCUGAGGCUACAGUUCAUAACAUCUUAUUUUACUACUGCUACCCUCAGCAAUGCUGAAGUAUAGAAAUAAAUCCUUCUUUUCAAAUGGUGUAACAAAAUGUGUAAAGGUAAGAAAAAUUAGCAAAAUAAUAACUGACUCGCUUGUCUGUAAAUGGCUGUAUGCAACUUAGCUUCUUACAGCAGAGGUAUGUUAAAAUGAAAAUUUUAAAGAAAAUUUCCACAAAUUAUAGGUCUGUGGGGUCGGACAAGGGGAGAGAAAAUGUUAGUUAAUAAAGACAUUUGAGUUUUGUGGAAGAAGCGAGAAACAUUGAUUUCGGUUGGUUUGCAUUAUUGGCACUGACUGCAGGAAUAUUUUCAGUAUAGCUUAAGGUGUUUCUAGAGGUGAAACAAAAUUAUCUCCCUGAACAGUCUAGUGAGCAGACGAUGAGAACAGAGAGAUUUUUUGGGCUUCAUCCUAAAAAAGGAGCCAAAUCUGAUGAACGGAGGUGAAACUGAAGAUUCAGUGAUUAUAAUAUCAUUACACAGGAAAUUUAGUUUGGGCUAUUUGCAUUUCAUGGUAGAUUUUCAGUAAGGUAGAGUUGGAAUGGCAAGCAGAAGGAAAUCCAUAGAGUUAAAAUUAUGGGAUAAAGAAUGUCUCUCAGUCAGUAAGGGAUGAAAUGAACCCUGCAGCAUGGUGAUGCCAUCAAAAGGUAUAACCAGGAUACAAGGGGCUGUGGUCAGAUAGGCUCUUCUAGACUUUUGUAUUUAGCAGCUCAGGGCUUGGGGUAGAUCUGCUCUGCACACAGUUGCAGGUGCAUUUCAAUGACAAGAAACAUUUAAAUGGAUUCAACUGUGAUUAAAUAAGGAAUGAAAAAAGUUAGUGGGGAAGGAGGGAAGAGGAGACAGUUGUUCAUAUAUGCAGAUGGCCAACCUGAGUUCAUGGAUCGGCCACUUGAGUACAAGACCAGGAAUGGAGAAAUGCUGAAUUACUGAUGGAAGUACUUUACCAUAAUUUUUGCACACAAUCCAUCAUUUGUAUGCAUUUGAAAAGCCUGGGUGAAAUUUAACAACACAUACUUUGUUGAACCAUGCAUAGUUUCAAUCAGUUUCGUACAUGUACAAAUCAGGUGGGAAAUAGUUUAUACAGUUUGGGGUUGCUAUACUGCGCUGCAUCUCCAGUUGACUGUACCAAAGAGCUGUUUAAUUUGCUUGCAUUAAAUAACAUAUGUUCUCUCUUUGUGCCAAACACUAUACCAAACAUUUGCAUACUGCUGUCAAUAAUAUAUCCUUUAGGACUAAUGCCACGUGAUUUAAAUACCCACUCUCUGAAGCUCUUCUCGGUUUCUGCAAAGUGUAUUGCACAGAGACAGCUUAAGCCCAGUAACAAAUUGACUUUUCUUCCUUUUGAGUGCCGAAGUACCUCCAUAACUCAGGCUGUCAAAAAUGUACGUGGGUAUGUCAGCAAUAUACCACUGUUACUUAGAUGUGUUGGUUUUUUUUCAUUAUUUGCUUCACUUUCAAAAUGCCACUGUAUUCAAACUGAAACUCUUUCCUAAGGAAACAAAUGCACUUCCUUUUUAACUAUGUAUCCUGACUCAAGCUAAUAUCCUGCUGUGCACAACUCCCAAAACUUAAAAUUAAAUGGUUUUGGCUUCAGGACAGGAAGACAGUCAAGCCAUUAGUGGACUGUGCAGCUCAUUAAGGCACUUGACUUUCAUUCCCAAUGAGUGCCCAUGACCAGUGAAUUUCUGCAUCUGUGAAAUGGAUGCAGCCAUCUCCAAGGAACUCAUCAAGGGGGUGCAAAAAAUGUUAUGGGAUCCCUUGUUAGGAACGCUUCAACUCCAGUUUGUCCCAGCUCCAUUUCACUGAAGAAAGCAGGAGAGGUAAGCUUGUCUGGGGACCAGUGGGAAAUCCAGUUAGAAAAAGCAGGAGUUGGGUGAGCACCUCCCUUGAGUUGCUCCUAGGGACUGAAAUUCUAGGCGUGUGCUGACAAAAGACCUCAAAUACCUGUUUGACCAUAUGUUGUCCUCCUUAAAAGAGUUGUUUCUUACUAAAAAUAAUAAAAUACAUUUCAAAUAGAUAUUUUAAACAACUAUAAAUUCUAGUUUACAUGUUUUUGGUUUUUUUUAUGUUCUCUGCAAUGAUUUUGCUUAGUCUUCUGCACCUGACAUAUGCAUGCUUCUCAUGGCCUGUUAGAUAUUGUCUUAAAAAAUCAUCUCAUUAUUUUGCCUUUUGAGUGGCCAGAUUCUCACAGGGAGCUUAUUUCAUGUAAUGUGGAAGUUGUUGAGUGACUGUGCACAACUUCCACUGGAAGUCAGGUCUAAUCAAAAUAUAAUUAUUCUAAAUUGUCAAGAGGCUUCAGAAACAAUAGAAUCAACAUAGAGGCGGAAACCAACUGACUCAAUUUCAGACAUGAUCCUUGUGUCCUCUGUGGGAUUUUGGCCAUUUCAAAUUUAAUUCUCCCAAGGCUGUGGUGGGUAAGCAAGGGUUGGGGUCAGGUGGUGCUUGAAGCAAUUUGACAGCCUGGUCUGGUGCACUGCUAAGCAUUGCUGGGAUCCUGACUUAUUGCCAGGAUUGGUCAUUAUUGUAGCAGAGAUGCUGAUCUAGAAGACAGUGUAGUUCAGGUUGCUUUUUUGGCAAACCCUGCAAUUAAACACUGGAAGAAGCAAGAGACAACCUGGAGGAGAGAGGAUAUGCAUAUAGCAGGAGAUUUGCUUUAAGAAAAACAAUAAAAUUUCUCUGACAGGGAGAAAUUAUGGUCCCAGGUUAACAUCACAAGGAAAAUACAAUUAAAUGCAUCUUCCCAAUUGUUGAAGAGUUGGAUGAAGAAACAGAAUCGGUCACUCAGUGUUGGUGCUUACCUGAAUCCGAAGAAUCUUUGCUCAAUUUUAGCAUGAGAUGCUGGAUGAGGUGGAAGCAGAUCCAGGAAGUAUGAUUUAUUUGUACUAAAAAUAUGUGUUAUUUGACUUUUUUUGGUGGUAAGUUUUAGGUUUAAGCAAUACAGUACAAACUGUAGACACCUUGAAGUGUGGAGUUCUUAGGCAAAAAGUCUGAAAAACCUACUAGAUAAGGCUGAAAGCAAUGGUUUGCUGACUCUGUUUGGGCUCCAUGAAUUCAGCUUUUCCGGAAUUGAGGUGUGUGCUGGUUUCUAGUGAUCCUUGGUUAUCUGCAGCAACAAACAAAGCAAUUGUGAGAGGUUCAGCUGUGGAAAGCAUCAGAGCUGCAGGGUUUGAGGUGCUGGGGCUGUGGGUUUCCCCUCUAGUCAAGGAUUUCAAGAGAAAGCAAGAGAUCCAAGCAGUAAAGUUAGGGAAAAUUAUUCUUAAGUUUUUUUUUUCUAUUAACCUCAAAGAUUGCAAUGUGAUCAUGAACUGCUUUCAACUGAGCAAUAAGAAGCACUGUACCUAGAGAUGCACAGCCAUUUUUUCUCUUUUCUUUAUUAUUUUUGCUUAUGGUAAUGCAGUUACAGACAUCCAGAGCUCUUUUGAGAUAAUGCAGAGGAAACCCUGUAGGUACAGUGACAGAAAUGGCAAUUAUAGCAACACCGGAGCAGAGAUGUCUCCAUCAAUCACAUCAUGCUCAGGUGUUGGGAGAUUCAGAUUUGGAAAAGGUGCCCCAAGGGAGGGAGCCUCAGAAAGAAAAGCAGUGCUUGAAUGGGGCCGUGAGGAUCAAAUGUCUUUGCUACGUUAUUAAUAUCUGUGCUGGCAGAUGUAGGGAAAAAGCCUGGCACGUGGGAUAUGGAGCAAAUUAUGUACGAUGUGGUGCGAGAAAGGUGUGAGCCUUCAUGGGAUGAAAUAAAUGAAUUCAGAGAGUAUUUCUUAGGCUGGAGAAGGAAGUGAGACUCUGAAGGAAGUUCUGAGGAGCUCAUGUGAAUGGAGUUCUUCAAAACAUUGGGAGAUUUGUUAAUGAAAUGGGGAAAUAUCCAUAAAUUCUCCAGUUGGCCUAAGUGACAUACAUAGGACAAACAAACAAAUUUCUGUUAUAACUAGAUUGUGGAAUUACUUUCAAGAACAUUUAGUCCAUAAACCUGAUUUUGCAAUGACUACGGUAACUCUGUUAGCAGGCAGCUCCCUCCUGUUAGUGCAAGCAGCUCUGAGGGAUUGUGCCUUCCAGAAUAAGGAUAAUAACAAGACACACUGUCUUUAAUCUUAUGUUUUGAAGUGUCUUUUUUAUUAACAAAUUGCCAUCGCUUGUUUUUAAAGCGGCAGUCAGCAAUGAUGAAUCUCACAAGCCCAGGGCUAUCGUUAAAGCAGAGACAGUGACCUUCUUCUUACUUCAUUUGCAGGUUCAGCCACUGCAGACUCCCUUGGGAUGGAAGAUUGUUUCCAUGCCAGUCUUGGGAAGCUUUACAGCUCCUGGUGAGCUCAGCUUUCUCUGCAAGCAGUGGUAAUGUUGGAGCAGGGGCUGGCUGGCCAUUACUGCUCAAGCCCUGCAUUUGGUUGAAAGAAUUCCCUGGAAGGACCAACUCGGGGCUAUAACUGAGCUCAGCACAGUGAGAUACCCAGCGUCAGUGUGUAUUGGUCCUUUUGCAUAAUGUUGCUUGAUUAUUGUUUCAUUAUUGUAGCCUUGAACUGUGCUUUCCUCUUCCAUCUGCCUCUUAACUUGCUGCUUGUGAGACUGGAUGAGAGAGAGCACCGGCGCUUCCUUCUUAGGAGGUACAGUUUCUGCAGCUGCUUCUACUUUUGUUCUAGAAGCUUUGAGGAAAACAAUAUAGAAAGUUUCCUUCUGAUAGCUGUGUGUAAUUUGUGCUACUGCCUCAGGAGUUCAUUUGCCAAGCUCAGUCUUUGCUGAAGCAGAGGCUCCAUCUCACAAACCUGAGCGUGUCCAUAUGCUUACAUGCAGAUCUGACACACUGUAAUGCUCCUGCAAUUAACUUCACUGUUAAGAUAAAGGAAGGUAGUACCCCUUCAUUUGGCGUAUCUCACUUUGACUAUUAUAAAAAAUUUAGAGUGUUAGUAAAUAAUAAAGUAGCUUUGUUUUCUUCCCAGCUCCACAGAACCAAGAGAUGGGGAGGGGGUGAGGGGAAACGAGAGCAUUAAUUUUUAAUCUCUCUCUUUUCUUGUCCAGCCUGAUGGGGUACAGAAAGGGAUGAAUCCAAGCAGCUCAGUCAAGAAUCAAUGCUUCUCCUGCAUAUUUUUAUGCAUGCUUCUACUGCACUGGAUGCAAGGAACAUACACAGUGCUGAGGUUGGGGUUCUGGCUGAGCCAGGCAGCAGGGCUUCCACUUGCACUUUGCAGCAAAAGGUCCCCAUUUUCCAGACUUGCAUCUUGCUCUUUAUCACAGCCAAGUGCAACUGAGCUCAACCUGGCAUAGCAAAAGAAGAGUGAGUUAAAUCUUGUUCCAGGAGCGAAAAAUGGAACCUCUUUCUGAUUUUUUCCUACGUUCUUUCUCCCCUGAUAGUGGCCAAUCAGAAAGGCCACUGUCCCUCUGUGAGUUCUGCCUCAGCUCCUGCCUAAAGGCCAUACCUAUGGCUCUGAUUUUUGCUGGACUUGUUCUUGCUUUGACCACCUUUGAAUCAGUCUGUGCAAAUGGUAUAAAUAGCAAACAGGGAUAUUAUUCAUUGAUUUUUAUAUCAAAUCCUAGUACUGCCUCAAGGAGAGAAGGCUUUUUAUUAUUAUGAAACUGCAAUUUUGAAAUAACCUAUUUGGUUGGUAUUGGUCUGGAUCCUGACAGCUGGUCGUGGAGAGAUGGGUUGUGGCUGCUGAUGCACAGAGCCUGAGAGAAGUGUUUCACCACAUGGGACAGGGAAACCAAAUCUCACUUUUAGUGCUGUGCUUGGAGCAAGCAGCUUGCAGAGGUAGGGCUUGAGCCUUUUCAUUGUUUUUAUGUGGCUUUAAGAGUUCCAUAUCCAAGCUGGCCAUGCCAAGUUCUCCUGCAUGGGUACUCUUGGGGCUUUGGUGUAUGAGAUUGACAUAGGCAACGGGCACAUGCUGCCAUGUGGGGAAGUCCUGAACCUGUGUCUGCCACCAGCGUGGUUAAAAGAAGAGCCAGUAAAUAAAUAUAUAUUUUAUUAAGAAAAAAGGCUGGGUGAGGUCAGCGCGGUGGCAGCCCUGAUGCAGCAUCCUGCUUUGUGCAGGCACUGCAGUCUGUGAAACUGGGCUUUUUAUCCUCUCUUAGAAGUUAUUUUGGCUCUGCUAGAAAACAGGUCUUUUAAAGAAGAAACGAAAAGAGUGAAGGAGCAACCGUGAGAAUGAUAAUGAGUUUCAUAUUCCACAAAGAUCAAAGUCUGAUAGACACUUAAAAAAACCAUCAGGCACCGGAACAUUUCGGGUAUUUAAAGAUGAUGCAGCUGUAGUUCUGUUUGGAGACAGUCUCAUUUCUUUGUAACCAAAACAUCAGUUCCUGUUUGAAGCAUUUUGUCCGAACUAUAAAGAUGUUUCCCACUCCGGCAAUUUCCCAUAAGCUGCUGUUUGAAUUGCUCAGUAGCAAUACGCUGCUCGCUUUUCAGUGUGUACGGGCGGGCAUCUGCAUUUCCUUCUGCCCAGUGCCUCUACAAAUUGCUCUCCCUGUAAAUCAAAGUGAAAUCUGAGCAGAGAUUUUUCUGAUUCUGUUUACAGCCCUGAGGUUUGUGGCCCUUUCUGGAUGUCACACUCGCAAUGUCUUUCCCGUGAAGAAUGCAAAAGUGCUCGUCUGUAGCCACGGGGAGCUGCCAACAAUAUGUGCACGUAUAUAGAUAUGUGUAUAUGUAUAUUUACAUAUGUAUUCUCUCUCCCAUCACAAAAAAUAAAGAAGUGUACUGCUAGGCUCUAAAAGUAGCCUAAUUUGUAAUUUCCUUAGUUCUCCUUGCUAUUUCUUUAUGCACUCAUCUGAGUUUGGUAGAAAUUAGUUAAGUCUUCAGAUGAUUUUGGCAAGUUUUAGAACCAGAAGCUUUUCUGAAGGGUUGCAGGAUAACCAUUAAAUGUACAGUUAUGGGUGAGGUCAAGCGGAGAAAAUGCAGUGAGGAGAGCAUGGGGCAGAGGGAUGGGAAGGAGGGAUCCCCAUGGUGUCAUAAAUAGAAAUAGGAAAGUAGGUGUCAGUGCUCCACCUGUAAACAUGAUCCAGUCUGAGUACAUCCAUUGGGCAGGAUUUAAUUAGCAGUUGGAAGUGCAUGAAGGAGAGAGGCUCUGGGAAAAACUUCCCAGGAAAAGCUCAUUCCUUUUUUCUUCAGUGGAGCGAUUUAUGAGUUGUUGAACCCGUUCCUUUGUGAUGCUACACAAUUGCUGUGGUUUUAUUGAUUAAAACGAGUCGAUAAAAAUUUAUACUUGCUUAGUUGAUGGUCCAGAGCUUUUCAGUUCCUCUUACAGGUAUCAAGGGAGAAUGUAGGCGGAGCAGUAUGCAUCUGAGCUUCAGGGAGAGCUAAGAAUACAGCAUACCCAUUCACCAUGGAUCCUGAUUUAUUCUUUCCUGGAGGAAAGUUCUCAGUUCAACAGAAACGGCUGUCAAGGCAUUUGCAGACUUUCCUGCUUUGCACAGAAAUUAAUGCAGCUGUUCCUGACUGAGCUGAAGAUGACCACUUCCAGAGAAGCCCUAUCCAUGCCCAUCCAAAAGUCCCCAUCUCCAUGUGAGCAAACAGCUGCAGGUGUUUUUUAAGCAUCUGAAGUACAACUGCUGUUGUGCAAAUGGUAAGCACAGUUUUUGUCCUGGCACCCCCCGUGAUUGCAGCAAGACUCUUAACCUAUUUCCAUAUUGCAAUGUGCUGCUUCAGACUGUGAGACAUAAAUAUGUUCCCAGCACAGAUCUCCUUCCUUCUUUCCAGGCAGGAGUGGUUUAGGAUCCAGCUAGAACAUGAAACGUAAGAAACAAAGCUGUUACAAUGAGAGAUUAUUCAAGUGUUGUUGGAGAUGAGAGAAUGGAAUUAAAGAUUUCAAGAUGAUCAUUUGUGCUAUGCCAUGAUAAUAAAUUAUUUGUGCACCUUCUUAAAUCAUUAUAUCCUACCUGUCUUAUGUAUUAGAAAUCUUAGGUGGGAAGGCAGCAAAAUCUCAGUAUUUAGGAUGAAGUUAAUGAGCUGGACUACUGUUAUACCAAGAAAAGAAUUCUCAGUAGAUGACAAAUUAUUAGUACUAGAGAGCGGGUCCUUUUCAUAAUUAUUUUUCUUUGCACAAUACAGGAGAGUCUAGAGGUUCAUAAUAGAUUUUUAUAACAAUAAAGGGAAAAUUUAAAUCCUUACCAGUAAUCAAGUGAUACUGCUCUACGGUAAUGUGAUAAAUGAGGUCUGAAAGGAGAGCUAUCAUUCUGAGCCAGCGGUCCCAUGAAAGAUUAAAAUAGCUUAGAUAGAAAGCAUCAGAAAGUCAUGACUGUGGAUGAAUGAAAAGGGAUGAAUACAAGUUACCUGCUAAAUGAAAAGGGAGAAAUAGGAAACAGGAUAAAUGGCAAAGAAGGAAAAGGAAAGUGCUAAGAGUUGUGAAGGAUGCUGGAGCUGUUGUACCAGCCUUAACUUGUGAUGGAAAUGGAAACGAGAUCACAUGGCAGUUGGUUUUAAUAGCAGUGGUUGGCCCAGUGCUUGCAACUCUUUUUGCUUUCUAUCAAAAUAUGAUUUCCUAGUGUGCUGUAUUGCAAAGAGUAAUUGCUGAAAUGCAACGAGAGUGAGCCUGGAAUUGAAUGUGUGAUUCAGCAGGUUUGAAAGUCUGAAUUAUUUCUAGGAGGGGCUAUGUCAGAAGGUCUGCACAAUCAGGUUGAGCUUAGAGACCACUAAGGCAAGAGCAUCAACUUGUGAAAUAGUGUUCCUUGCUCAACUACGGAAUUUCAUUUUUAAAGUUUGCCAGUGCAUUGAAUGCAAAACUGAUAUUUAUGGCUAUAUACUAUUUUCACUUAAUAUUCCUUCCUGUUUCCUGCUUUUCCAUCUCAAUUACUCUACCAUUAGGGAAAUGAGCAGUGGUAUGGUAGCAGAAGCGCUUGUCUCUCCUGGGCUUGAAGCAUCACCAUGGAGCUGCUGGGUGCUCACAAUGUGGGAUUGUCCACCAUAGCAGCAGGCAUGGAUGUAUCUGGCCUGUCAGCCCAGGGAGACACCUCUCUGCUCUCGGGAUGGGUGCACCAGGAGGGUAUUUCAGCAGGAUGGCAGUGCAGUUAGGUGGCUGGAGUCUGUCCUUAAAGUUUCUGCUCUGAUGGAUGCUGAGCUUAGAGAGGGAUUGAGCUGUUUGGAUAUACACAGUUCUGGCUCCUUUGCUUUUUUUUUUUUUUUUUUUUUUAACCCAAAUGGGUAAAAUUUUGGUGCCUCUUACAGGACUGAGGUAGCCAGUGUUCAUACACUGUCCAGGCAUACCUUUGAACAGGGGCUGUGAAGCAGGACUUGAAGCUCGCUCUUUUAGUCCCAUUCAGAAUCUGUCUAUUCCUCUCAGUUCUGUGUCAGUCGCUUGCAUUCAAUUUGUGCCUCAAAGACAGAAUUGCUGUGUGAAGGGCUGGAGAGCCUGGCUAGACAGUCAUAUGCGUCUGUGACUAAGCUGCAUGCGAAGAACUGAAAUAAAUGAUUUUUUAAUUUGAUGUUCUUCCUGUUUGAAUCCUGAGAAUCAUUUUCCUCUUUAUUCACCGGUGAGCUUUUUUCUUUCCUUUCAGAGACCAAAUGAAUAAAGAGCUAUGGCAAAUACUGAAGGUUUAGAAUUCAGAAGGUGGCUCAUAAAAGUAUCUCUCUGAGUUUAUAAAUCAUAUUGUCCGUGUGAAAGAUUUUGGUCUAAUGACUUGAAACAAAUGGAAGUCUGAGGUGUUUUUCAAGGAGUGUUCGUUUCUCUGUGAACAACAAAAUAGCUGAACAAAGUACCGCUGCUUUCGGCAGCAGUUAAAUACACUGAAAGGAGAACAAUUGAUUGAGAACCCCAUAUGUAUCGGUGCCCUCCUUCAGAUCAAUAAAGGAACUGCUGAAGAUGUCAUUAUUAACUUCAAGUGGGUAUACUGCUGUUCCAGAAAAGGUGGUUUAUGCAGAUUGAAUUAUUUCUGUGAUGCUCUUUUCUUCCAAUUGAUUUAGCCAGCUCCUCUGUACAUUCCCAUCAUUCAUCGGAAUGGGUGGCAGCACCCAGCAGCUCCAGCUGGAGAAGAGGCAAAACCAUCAUGGCUGUGGUGUCUGCACGUGUGACCACUGCCCAUGUGAGCCCUGAGUAACGCCCCAGCGUGACAGACAGCUGCAAGUAUUUGUGAAUGUGUUUAACAUGGGAUCUAUCUCAGUGAUAAUUUUUCUGCCUGGGAAACUCAUACGAUGUUGGGGGAAAAAAAUGCUUUUGGCAAUAACUGUAAGAUGAUGGUGUUGGGGAUAAAGCUAUUUGCAGUUGCACAGUGUCAUGAUUCCUAGUCACACAGAUUUUGUUUCAUACAGCAAAGUGUAAGUAAAAUCAACAGUCCUGAUUUUUGCAGCCACCUAUGUGUUAGGAAUUGAGAGCUGUUGCAAAUCGGGCGUUUUAACAUUCCCUGAUCCAUACUCACUCUUCUGCGAGUGCACCUUUCCUCCUGCAUUCAUAGAAUUGUUUGAGUGGGAAGAGACCCUUAAAAGCCAUCAGUUCCACUUCUUGUAAUGCACAGGGACACACACAGCUCCACCAGUGCUGAGAGCCCAUCUGUAGGGCAGAUAACUGUGGGCAUCUGCAGGAAUAGGGCACCCAGCCCUCUGGAGAACUGUGCCAAUGCUUCACUACUCCUAUAGUAAUAAUCUUUUCCCCCAUACAGUCUAAAUCUCCCCUUUCUCAUCUUCAAGGCAAUCUCAGUGCAGUCCUUUCAAAUACAUUUCACAUACAUUUUCCACCUGGGGUUAAAGCCUGAACUAUCCAUUAAUGCGCACAUACCCUUGACCCAAUGCUCUGUUUCUGAUAUGAAACCAUAAGCACAGUGAUCAGCUGUGUCUGCUCCUAAUGUACAAAGUGUUUGAGUUGAUUAUAUGUUAAAAAAAAAACAAAACACCACCAACAACAAAACCAGCAAAUUGUUUUGAAGUGUGCACUAAUGAGACACAGAAAGUACAUCCUCAAGAACAGGUUGACACUGUACAAGAAGUGAGCAGGAUGGAGAGGGCUGGCUUCUGAGGGAGGCAACAAAUGGACUAAUGGUAUUUAUGUGUUAUUUCUUACUUUUUCCUACAGACAGAGACCGUGUGCAUUAUAGUUUUUUAGCCAUAACAAGGAGAUAAUAAAUCAAACUUGGUUUUUUUGUAGUUGGGCAUGAGCGCAUAAAGAAACUUGACCUCUGCAUUCCCCGUCCCAACUUAGGUGUUGCUGUGGCAUGUGCAUCAUCAGCACCACCCAAUGGUGCCUGCUUUUCUGUAUUUUCCUUUUUUCUGCUGCUCCCAAAAAGGCCCAGUUCACUGAACGCAUCUUGCCCACAGUGCUGGUGCCUUUUCUUCCUGAGAACAACAGCAAAGUGGUCCUGUUCUUCCAAUGGUUGGGUCCCAAUUGAGAGAUUCCAGCCUAUUUCUUGGACCAUGGUCUGCGAUGCUAUUUUGUUAUGGAGGUGGUGAUCACAUAUGCUGUCUAUGAUGCUCUUGCCUCUUGAGCUCCCUGCAGCCUCUCCAAUGAAACAACUUCUGUGACGCUUCCCUUCAUCUGUUUCCACCAUUAAUAAGAGUCUUUUCUUUCCCUGAUCUGCUGAUGAGUUAUUUCCUCUGAGGAAUUAAGAUCAAGAGCAUAGUUCAUGGAACGUGGCAGUCUGCUCUCUGUCCCGAGGAUCUGUGUGCGAGUAGUGCAUUGUCAGGAUUUAAUUGCAGCUUAUUCCUAGGCUUGCCUCAGCGGCUCUCGGGAUUUUGAUUGAAGGCGGAGGUAAGAGGGCAUCAGGAAGGCAGACAAAUGAAGUCUCUACAUGCAAAACAGAGAGAGCUCGAUAACCCUCAGAAAGCUCAAAUCCCCCUGUGUAGAGUUUCUAUUAUUUUAUUUUUUAAGGUUGUCUCAGCACUAUUGAUACUAAAUUAAUUUUUUGCACGGGUCUCAAUGUAGCUCUCCUGGAUGUCAAAAUCAUGAAACAAGAUCAAAUCAGAUUUUCAUCACUGUCAGUUUUUGGGGUUUCUUCUGCUGUUGAUCUGUUGUUUGCAUGUCUUUGUGUGUGGAGUUUUAUUGGUGGGUUUUAUUUUACUUGGCCGAUUUCUUGCUUGCUUGUCUAAUUUCAUGACUAAUCAGUGUUUUGGGCCACUGGGAUGGAAGUAACAAAGAAGGUUCUGGGCACAUCACUCCCCUGAGUUUCUUGCAAACCAUGUGAAGGAAAUCACAUAUUGAGGAACAGAUCUCCAUGAGGAAGAGGAGGCUAUACAAUGAAAGAAGCUGAUGAUCGUGGCAUGGCCACGCGAAUGUAUGUUUGCAUUUUUCACUGUUUUGCUUAGUUGCAAUGAAGCAAAAGGAAUCUCAAAGAAAAAUAGUGUAACUGAUCCUAUAAAAUAACAGGAAAUGGUGCCCUGUAGCCUAAUGAUGAUGGGAGGUGAAGCUGAGUGACAACCUAGCAGCAGCCAAUUAGGUCCACCAGCAGGUUUUCCAUUUACUUGUUUUAGGCAACCUUUAAAAGAGGAUGAGAAUGAGGAUCCUUACAGGAAUUGCUGCAGGUCGAAGCUGCAACUUGGCAUAGUGGAUGAAUGCAGCAUAAUUGAAUGCUAUCAACAAAAUUAUCAUUAAUAAAGAGAGAUUUGACACUUGGCUGAAGCAGAGUGCACAAGUAAUAACAAACUGGAGGAAUGAAAACAUAUCUGAUGUAUUGAGCAGAUUCUCCUGGAAAAUGUGAAAAAAUAGAUGAUUCUGGAGGGAAGAAAGCUGAGGCAAGGAGGAGGAACAGAAAAGUAGGUGAGGAGAGAAUUGAGGUUAUCUCAGUGGUAACCAUUAAAACGGGAUUGUUUGCCAAGACCUCCCACUGUAAGGUAGGCAAAGAGUUUUCUGGACCAGGAAAUGUUCUUAUGUUCUUCCAUACAGCAGUCCUACCAAUGAGCAGUAGCAUUAAAGAUGCAUCUAUGAGCGAUCUAAAAGUUGCUAACGUGGAAAUAUUGUGGUAUUCUAUGCUUAUUGUUUUAUCACCAUAGCAGAGAAAGAUCCCCAAUGACUAAAUUGAAAAAAGAAAAAGAAACAGUGGCUAUAUUUAGCUCUCACACAGAGAUCAAUGUGGGACAGAAUAAACCCAGCAUAUUUAGGAGAGCCCUGAGGCUUUUCCAGUCCGUGAAGGAUGCCUGAUGCACAUUUUGAAAUUCAGCAAAUAAUGUUUUUCCAUUGCUGUUAACAGUCUAAAGAUAACUCAGCUCCUCCCUAUGUUUUUCAUGAUGUUAGUCCUGAUAAGUAUGCAUUUCUUUUUAGGACUAGGACCUAAAGGACCAAUCCUUCUGCAAGUUGCCUUAUAUACAUUUUCAACCACAAUCCAAAUGGUCACAAUCCCAUCAGACCUCAUGUGCUCAUGGAGCGCUGCAGCUACUAUGUAUGGAAUCAAUCAUCCAGGAAGCAAUGAUUUGGUCCUGAAAGCCCUCUGUCGUGCAAGUGGAUUGACCUGGCUCUGGGAUUUGACAUCUCUCAAACCUUCUAUUGCCUUUUGAAGAAAAUAAUAGAGGAGAGGAUUUGGGUGCUGGAAGAAUCUCUGAAAGCAAAGAAAUUUCAACUCAAACGAAAUAUCGAGGACAAAAAUGUACCACUGAAGACUUCAGAAGGAAUGAUCAAGGAGAAGGGCGUGGGAAGGGAAUAGGCUUCAGAAUAAAUUAUUUCCUUCAUUUAUUUGGAAACCAACAAAUGAAACUGGCUGUAGGAUGUGGGCAAGAAACUGUUUUCUUGCACCUUCUAAACAAAUGAACAAAACACUGCCAAACUUUCAAAAGAGCUCUUCUACUGGAAGAAAUCUAAAGAGAUGUCCAGAAGUAAAGGAGCACUGAAAAUCCCAAAAGGUUGGUCAUUCGUCAUAGCUGUUUACAUGUCAAAUAGCACAUCUGAAGUCCCAGAAGUGCACCGAAUAACCACAUGUAGUCAAAAUAUCUUUGAAAAUGUGAUAUAUGCUACUAAAAUAUCUCCAGAUUAUGACAACAGAUAAAGUACAGAGAAUAACUCUUCUAUAUGCUGCCUGAUAACUGAAGACAGGGAGACUUUCAGUGUGGUGAUUCCCAAAUUUUACUGCGUGAAGCCACUAAAAGUAAAAACUGCGUAUGUUUGAAGUCCAAAGAAGCUGAAUAACUAAAAAAUAAUGUCAAACAAAUUUUCUGAUUGCUGGGUAUUGUUUCUCCUGGAACACAAUGGAUUUCUCUGAGACACUGCCCAGUGGGGACAUGGCCUGUGACAGUGGGACUCAACUAGAAGAUUAUAUCUUCCUUUAUUCUCUGGAGUAUGCUGUGCCAUAAGCUGUCAAUUUAUCCUGGUAUUUUAUACUACCUUCAGAGCAUGAAAGUAGGUCACUGCAGCACAGGAAGGGCCUUGUACAGCAGAAAACAGCCACACAGCCACUGGGGAUGGAGCUGCAUGAGGAACAUAGAGUCAUACUGUGGUUUCAAAGCUGCCUCUGCAUGAGCAACACGGUUCAGCAGAUCCCAGCUCUGGAGACUGUAAUGUCACCCAUGGAGAUGCUGCGUGGGCAUUUCUGCAGCCAGGCUCCAGCGUCAUGCUCAACUGUGCUCAUGGAGUAUGACUCACUUGCUGGGGCUUUGCCUCACUGUUCUGCUCUGCUGGUAGCAUCCUCAGAACAACUUCUGCAUCGCCAAGCUGUGGCCGUGGUGGGUCAGCACCCAGCCCUGUACCCUGCUGGAUCCAAAGCUCAGGCACACUGACAAAGUGCAAUAGCUUUCAGCCCUUGCAGUUCAUGGCUAUUUUUGGAGAAGCAUCUGAAGCUGUCCAGACUUAGCUGAGAUCAAUGGCUCUCGGAGGAACUCAACAAAGCCAAAGCACUUGCAAUUGUUGAAUGCAUGCCAGCAACCCUCAUGGGGCUAAAGCAACAUUAUGUGCCUUUUAAUUACAGCACGUACGGCUGGAGAAAAGAAAUUAUCUCGUCUGUGGCAAGAAGGUGGGACAGGAACGUGCCGAAGUCCUGCUGCAGGAGGAUGGCAUGUACUGUUCCAGGGGAAGAUGACUGGAAUUCCUGAUCACUUGGAACCUGUGGGCACCCACAAAAGGCAGCAAAGUGGAAAUGUGCCACUGCCUUUCAAUGGACGUUGUAGUGCUGAAUGGAUGCUGACGGUGGACAAGGAGGUCUCCUCUGUAGCACUCCCAUUUCCUCAUCAGAAAGGAAGGCAAAGAGACUUGGCUAGUGGUAAAGAUGUUCAACUGGAUUUGAGGCUUUUUUUUUUUUUUUUUUUUAAUGAGAGACUGGCUUCUUUUUUUGUCUUUAUCUCCAAAGGAGUAAAAUUGCUUUUCCUGACUGUAGAAAGAUGCUUCAGGAAUUUAAUGCAAUAGGGUCAUAUUCUGGCUAUCAAUAUUAAUGCUUUAAUCCUGGAUUUGGAAGUGCCUUCUAGAAUGAAACCAGAAAAUUCUGCACUUUUGAAGAGUUAUUAAUAAUACACGAGGAGCAAAAUGUAUCACAUUUGAGCUAUAUAUGUGGAAAGCUCCUAUUGAAACAAGUGUGUCUGAGAUGAUUUAAAGCUCCUGAAAGAAAUCCUGUAUAGGUAAUCUGUAGAUUUAUUGUUAAUUGUUAUCAAAUAGGUACCUAAGGAGCUAAAGGGUUUUAUUUGUGCAAUUGCUUCAUCUUUUCAAAGCGAAGAUGUAUUGAAAGCAGUGGAAGAGUAAAAAUAGAAUUAUUAUGUAAAAUUGUUUUGGAAAGAAAAUAAAGUGUUUUUGCAUCUCAACAUCCCACUUUGUUCCGUUCAGUGUGAUUCUCUUUCCUCUGGAAAAAAAUCCCACUGAUUAUACACCUUAUGCCUAGUUUCCUUCACGGAAGGUAAUUUUAGGAAAUUAAUUUCCCUCAUUAGGUUGUAUAACUCAAUAUUAAUUUACUAAAAUGAUCAAGGGAAGGGGAGGUAGAUUCAUCUUUAAGUAUUAACAUAUGUCAGUUAGAAACCUGGGAAGUUUAUUGUUUCUGUCAGUUGGGAGAAUUUUCUUAAGCAGCCUUAUUUGAAAGAUGGUCUAUAAAGUCCCUAAUAAAUAUCUUUAUACUGGAACACUUAAAAACUUUAAGGGUGCUGUAGUGUAUUACACUCACAGAUAUGUUACUGGAUGGAUUAAAACUAAGAACAUACUCUUAAGUUAAGCCAUAUCUCUAACUCUAAAAAUAAUUAUAUAUAUAUAUAUAUAUAUGAAUUUCAGCAAGUAAAAGUAGUAAAUUAAAGCCAAACUAAUAAAUUAUUUUCUAUCAUAGACAAUAAGACCCAGUGUAUACCAGGUAUGCUAUCCAG
ensembl:lncRNA